CAGAGUUGAACACCUCUGCUUUUGUGUGUCCUGUCACGAGUCAGAAUUUGUGACUAUUUUUGCCUUAUGUAAAAAUGCAUUGUACAAUCAUAUAAAAUAAGUCAAAUAAUUGGUUAUUAACAUGCACAUAUAUCCUCUAGGAAACCUUCUGAAUGUCUUUUACACCUUUAGUUUCAAGGAUGUGGAAAGCUGUGGUGACCCGUCCAUCACUCAACAACUCAAGUUUCACACUUGAGACCAAACAGGUUUAAACUGAGAGAAUGCAGGCUCUUCAGGUUCUGUCUCUGACUCUGCUGUCUGUGCUGGCGGUCAGCGCUCAGUCCAUCGGCUCUGGAAAAUGCCCACAGCCUCCUGUUCA